rnacentral:rRNA from 1 species
UCAAGUGACUAAGCGUAUACGGUGGAUGCCUUGGCAGUUAGAGGCGAUGAAGGACGUUGUAGCCUGCGAAAAGCUUCGGGGAGUCGGCAAACAGACUUUGAUCCGGAGAUGUCCGAAUGGGGAAACCCACCUGGUGUAAGCCAGGUACCUUGCACUGAAUACAUAGGUGUAAGGAGCGAACGAGGGGAACUGAAACAUCUAAGUACCCUUAGGAAAAGAAAUCAAUUGAGAUUCCCCCAGUAGCGGCGAGCGACCGGGGAGUAGCCUGCAAGUGAUAGCAGUUGGGUUAGUGGAACGGUCUGGAAAGUCCGGCGAUAGAGGGUGAUAGCCCCGUACACGAAAACCUGAUUGUGAUACUAAGCUUGCGACAAGUAGGUCGGGACACGAGUUAUCUUGACUGAACAUGGGGGGACCAUCCUCCAAGGCUAAAUACUACUGACUGACCGAUAGUGAACCAGUACCGUGAGGGAAAGGCGAAAAGAACCCCGGCGAGGGGAGUGAAAUAGAACCUGAAACCGUAUACGUACAAGCAGUGGGAGCAGACUUGUUCUGUGACUGCGUACCUUUUGUAUAAUGGGUCAGCGACUUAUUGUCUGUAGCAAGCUUAACCGUUUAGGGGAGGCGUAGGGAAACCGAGUCUUAAUAGGGCGUCAUAGUUGCAGGCAAUAGACCCGAAACCGGGCGAUCUAGCCAUGGGCAGGUUGAAGGUUGAGUAACAUCAACUGGAGGACCGAACUCACGUAUGUUGAAAAAUGCGGAGAUGACCUGUGGCUCGGAGUGAAAGGCUAAUCAAGCCCGGAGAUAGCUGGUUCUCCUCGAAAUCUAUUUAGGUAGAGCGUCGUGUCUUACCCUGGGGGGUAGAGCACUGUUUCGGCUAGGGGGUCAUCCCGACUUACCAACCCGAUGCAAACUCCGAAUACCAAUGAGUGCAAUCACGGGAGACACACGGCGGGUGCUAACGUCCGUCGUGGAGAGGGAAACAACCCAGACCGUCAGCUAAGGUCCCAAAGUUAUAGUUAAGUGGGAAACGAUGUGGGAAGGUUUAGACAGCUAGGAGGUUGGCUUAGAAGCAGCCAUCCUUUAAAGAAAGCGUAAUAGCUCACUAGUCGAGUCGGCCUGCGCGGAAGAUUUAACGGGGCUCAAACUAUGUACCGAAGCUGUGGGUGUGCAUUCAUUCGUGAAUGUACGCGGUAGCGGAGCGUUCUGUAAGCCGUUGAAGGUGCAUUGUAAAGUGUGCUGGAGGUAUCAGAAGUGCGAAUGCUGACAUGAGUAACGAUAAGGGGAGUGAAAAGCUCCCCCGCCGGAAGACCAAGGUUUCCUAUCCAAUGCUAAUCAGGGUAGGGUGAGUCGGCCACUAAGGCGAGGCUGAAGAGCGUAGUCGAUGGGAAGCAGGUUAAUAUUCCUGCACCACUCAAUAUUGCGAAGGAGGGACGGAGAAGGCUAGUCCAGCGCGGCGUUGGUUGUCCGCGUUUAAGCGUGUAGGCUUAAAUCUUAGGUAAAUCCGGGAUUUUUUAAGGCUGAGGCGUGAUGACGAGGUCCAUUAGGACUGAAGUGGUUGAUGCCAUGCUUCCAGGAAAAGCUUCUAAGCUAUAGAUAUUGAGUGACCGUACCCCAAACCGACACAGGUGGUCAGGUAGAGAAUACCAAGGCGCUUGAGAGAACUCGGGUGAAGGAACUAGGCAAAAUGGUACCGUAACUUCGGGAGAAGGUACGCCGCUGAUGGUGAUGGGACUUGCUCCCUAAGCUGUUGGCGGCCGAAGAUACCAGGUGGCUGCGACUGUUUAUUAAAAACACAGCACUGUGCAAACACGAAAGUGGACGUAUACGGUGUGACGCCUGCCCGGUGCCGGAAGGUUAAUUGAUGGGGUUAGCUUCGGCGAAGCUCUUGAUCGAAGCCCCGGUAAACGGCGGCCGUAACUAUAACGGUCCUAAGGUAGCGAAAUUCCUUGUCGGGUAAGUUCCGACCUGCACGAAUGGCGUAACGAUGGCCACACUGUCUCCAC